UGAAAUGUUAUUUUCAGUUAGCUGUUAUGGUUUCGAAAAGUAUGUUGUAAUGGCUUUUUUUCUAUGAUGCAAUUGUUUCCGUUUGUUGCUGUAUCGCAUACCCCAUCUGAUAAUUGAAAUUGGUUUUGAGGCUUUCUGUAGGUGUGAGAUUCAAGGUUUGAAACUGACUUGUGAUUUGCAUUUCGAAGCUGUUUUCUUUUAACUGAAACUGUCAAGGCACUUACCAUGACAGGUUGGAGGUUUUCAUAGUUUCUUGAAUUGGAUUUUUGAUAUGUGUACUUGAAAGCUUGAUGCUAUGGAAGAUAAUUUGGACGUGAAGAAAACAUGAAGCAAAUGGUCAAUGAGCUUAAGCCCAAUAAAACCCAGAAGGCUUUUUUCAAACU